UCCUUUUAGAUCUUAACCUAAAAAUAGAGCUACCACCUAAAAAAGAAAAAUUAAAGUUUACAUAAUGGAAAAGUCGAUUUUUGUACUAUCCGAGGAGCGAGGACAUUCUUACGUACAAAAAACGAAGCGAUCAUAUGAGAGGUAUGAACACCCUUAUAUACCUCUAGCAAAGCCCAUAAAUUAUUUAGGAUGCAUUAGUUAAUACAACGUUGGAUAAUAAUGUAUCAAAUAAUACAUUCUAAUUGAACCUUCAUCAAAUUUAAGGUGUUACCGCCGGUUUUGUUUUCAUAUUUGCUACCUAUUAUUUGAAUAAACCAAGACUAGCUGCAAAUUCUUGAGCCCAACAUAAUAUCUCAAGCCUCUUUCCGAAGGCUUCCAGUGCAGAUUGGGGUAAUCUAUGAAAAUGAUAUAUAGAAUAAUAUGAGAAAAUAUUCAUCCAAAUAAUUAAAUAGAUUUAAGCGUUGUGAAAAAUGAUAGAUUCAGGUGUUCCCAGAAUCAGCUGUCUACGGCGCAGCAGCUGUGGAUUGGUAAAUACCUGUCGGCCCCAAGCUCGUCAUCCCAACCCUUCUCAAAAUGGAGUCCGCUACCCUAAAAAAAUGAUUCUUUAAUGGAUCAACUUUCCACAAUCUGUAAUCAAGGUACAGAUUGUGGAAUUGGGUCCAUAGUAUGUCGUUUUCCGAGCUGCUCCUCUUGCUUAGCGGUGGAAAUCUCUGCCCCUCAUCUGGCCUGCAAAACUGGGGAAGAAUCCUCUGGUUGUUGACGGAAAAUACCAGACGGUUUCUCCUGGUUUCCCCAGCGGGCCGUGAGGAAGCCAGGGAAAAAACCUUGUCCGUUGAAGAAAAUCCGAGGGAAAUCUCCCUGACUACGCUGGAAAUUCAUUUUCUUUAUUCUUUAUUAGUUUUUAUUUCU
rnacentral:lncRNA from 1 species